UACGUAGGGGGCGAGCGUUAUCCGGAUUUACUGGGCGUAAAGCGCGUUAAGGCGGUUGGCAAAGUUGGUUGUGAAAUUUCGGGGCUCAACCCCGAAACUGCGUCCAAUACUGGUCGACUGGAGUAUGUGAGAGGAAGGUGGAAUUCCCGGUGUAGUAGUGAAAUGCGUAGAUAUCGGGAGGAACACCAGUGGCGAAGGCGGCCUUCUGGCACAUAACUGACGCUGUAGCGCGAAAGCGUGGGGAGCGAACGGG
rnacentral:rRNA from 1 species